rnacentral:rRNA from 1 species
UACAGAGGUCCCAAGCGUUGUUCGGAUUCACUGGGCGUAAAGGGUGCGUAGGUGGUGGGGUAAGUUUGAUGUGAAAUCUCCGGGCUUAACCCGGAAACUGCAUUGAAUACUAUCUCACUUGAGGUUUGGAGGGGGGACUGGAAUUCUCGGUGUAGCAGUGAAAUGCGUAGAUAUCGAGAGGAACACCAGUGGCGAAGGCGAGUCCCUGGACAACACCUGACACUGAGGCACGAAAGCUAGGGGAGCAAACAGG